AUUGAACGCUGGCGGCAGGCCUAACACAUGCAAGUCGAACGGUAACAGAAAGCAGCUUGCUGCUUUGCUGACGAGUGGCGGACGGGUGAGUAAUGUCUGGGAAACUGCCUGAUGGAGGGGGAUAACUACUGGAAACGGUAGCUAAUACCGCAUAACGUCGCAAGACCAAAGAGGGGGACCUUCGGGCCUCUUGCCAUCGGAUGUGCCCAGAUGGGAUUAGCUAGUAGGUGGGGUAAAGGCCCACCUAGGCGACGAUCCCUAGCUGGUCUGAGAGGAUGACCAGCCACACUGGAACUGAGACACGGUCCAGACUCCUACGGGAGGCAGCAGUGGGGAAUAUUGCACAAUGGGCGCAAGCCUGAUGCAGCCAUGCCGCGUGUAUGAAGAAGGCCUUCGGGUUGUAAAGUACUUUCAGCGGGGAGGAAGGGAGUAAAGUUAAUACCUUUGCUAAUUGACGUUACCCGCAGAAGAAGCACCGGCUAACUCCGUG
rnacentral:rRNA from 1 species